UUUUUGCCUCAGCUCUGUGUUCUUGGGAGAGAGUUACAGAGAAUAAGUUCUGCAUGUUGUGAUCGUGUAUGUUUUCCUUCGAUUUAGUGUUUGUUUGUUCCUUGCAUGUGACUGAUUUGGGGUUUCGGUGAUGCAGGAGUUUAUGGGUUUGUUGUUAGCAACGAGAGGGAAGAUGAAGUUUGGAAUCAGAUUGAGGAAAGCAGAAGAGUACCUUCUUUGGCGAUUUUGUUUUGUUGGCGAUUUCGGGUUUGGUGGAAGCUCAGGUCAAAAAGGUGUUGGGUUAUUGACGCGAUCUUCUCUCUCUCUUUUUCUCUUCGUUUUUGGCUGGGCUCUUCGCAUCUAGAGGUGGAGGGUGAUUUUGGAAGAAAUGGAAGAGAAAUUCACAGCUAAAGACUAAGGGAUGGGUUUCACCUUCUAUUAUUAUUGUUGCUGCAACUGAUUUAUCUGUUGUAAAACUGGUCUGCAAGGUCUGAAGAAAAGGAAAGGCUUGGAUCUGCCAAUCAAGCUUUUUUUUUUUUUUUUUUUUUCUGGGAAUUUAGUGCAGGACAAACUUUCUUGAGUGAUCUUCAUAGCUCAAGCUUCUUCUUUUUUCAUGCGGUACGGUGGGACAUUUUGAUUGCUUGCUCCAAUGGAUACUGGAAUUACAGGCAUCAGGGGUGGAUUUUUUUUCAUGAUUCUAGGUUCUUCCUGAAGAAAAUUAUGUAAUUCCAACACAGAUUACAUUCCGGAUAUCUUCAGACAAAAAAAUCACUCUUUUGAACUUUUCCUCAAUCACUAUUAUUGAAGUGAGAAGCAGUGCAUGAUUGUCGAUUUGUACGGGAAUUCAGUCAACUGAUCCUCCCAGGAAGUGAAUGGAAAAAAAUUCACUGAAUGGAUUUAUUUAGAAAAACACGGUGACGUAUACGAGAGAACUUUGGACGCUUCUUCUCAGUGCGUAAAACAAUGCCAGUAGUGUCCCUUAAUAGUUCUUGGAUGCCAAACAAGAAGCAUGAAAAAAGAAGUGACAGAGAAGCCAGUAUUGAAUCAGCAACAUCAUCAACAGAAAUCAUCAGCAAAGAAAAAAUGUACCAAGUGUCACAGCAUUUUUUGUGUAAAUAGAACUGGAGGAAGCAACUUUUUGGACAACCUCCACUACUGGUCAUCACUAGGCUAACAACAUCUCAGCAUGCAUAUAUGCUGAUGGACAUCAUCACUUAUUUUUGGCAACCAGAUUAGGCAUUUGUUGUAACUAAGUUAGCCUAUAAGUAGAACAGGUUAUUUUUGGCAAGCUGUUUCGACAGCAACUGUAAAUCUGUAUUUGAACACUAAAUUUCAGUAAAACAUGAUGUAUGUUAGUUCUUAA